rnacentral:rRNA from 1 species
GGUUACCCCGUCGCGGCGCCUGCGUGAUGCUGGAGGGUUCGAGGUUUGUUCGGUUGUACUGGGCUGGAAGGGCGUGUAGGCCGUUGGUCAAGUCUGGUGUGCAAGCCCCGGGCUUAACGCCGGAAGUGCACUGGAAACUAGCCAGCUAGAGCGCGAGAGAGGAGGGUGGAAUUCCUGGUGUAGCGGUGAAAUGCGUAGAUAUCAGGAGGAACACCGGCGGCGAAGGCGGCCCUCUGGCUCGUUGCUGACGCUGAAACGCGAAAGCGUGGGGAGCAAACAGGAUUAGAUACCCGUGUAGUC